rnacentral:misc_RNA from 1 species
UAGCAAACGCCGUCGUCCGCCCUCCACAGCUUCACUGCUCGUCUGCUCCAGCGACCAGCGGGCAGCUGGGCGCCUGCGCCAUUCUCCUGCUCUCUCUCAGCCGCGCGUGAGCCGUAGCAAAGUAGCAAACGCCGCCGUCCUCCUGCUCUCUGGUCUCCCAGCCGUGAGCCGUAGCAAACGCCGCCGUCCUCUCCUACUCUCUGCUCAACUGCUCUCUCCAGCGGGCAGCGGUGCCGGUCCAGCCUCCAGAGUCCAGAGGCCACGGCUCGGCGGCUCCCUCCCAGACGGCCAGCCUCCACACGCCGCCGUCCGAGACCAGCCCGAGAAGAAGCUUGCUGCGUUGAACACUGCUGACCACGCCGCCGUCCGAGAAGAAGCUUGCCGAGAAAAGCUUGCUCCCUCUGCUCUCCAGUCUCCAUUGCUGGCCACGGCUACAGCUCUGCUGUCCACGGCUCUGCUCUCCACUGCUGACCACAGACCACCUGCUGUCCGCGGAAUGAAGAUAUAGCAAGUGGCUCCUCUCCAUGAGCAAUAUGUCUUAUGUUUGUUGAGAGAUGUGAGCAAAUAAGUCUUGGUUGUAAUAGUCUAUGCGUGCUAAGUGAUCUAAUGAGCAAGUGAUUAUGAAUAUGUGUUUUAAACUUUGUAUUGUGUCAUGUGUGCUAGUAGACUUAUAUGACUUCUUAUGUUAGCCAAGAGCCCAAGACUUAUGUGCUACAUUAAACUUUGUGUGCUCCGGAUUUACAUGGCUUUUAUAGUUUUAUUUGUGUUUAAUUAAGACUUGUGUUUACAAUUUUUUAUUUGCCGUUAAGUUUUGAAUAUAUGGUUUCAUGGUGUUGAUUUACCGAAC